rnacentral:rRNA from 1 species
GACGAACGCUGGCGGCGUGCUUAACACAUGCAAGUCGAACGCUGAAGCUUGGUGCUUGCACUGGGUGGAUGAGUGGCGAACGGGUGAGUAAUACGUGAGUAACCUGCCCUUGACUCUGGGAUAAGCCUGGGAAACUGGGUCUAAUACUGGAUACGACAUGCCACUGCAUGGUGGUGCGUGGAAAGGGUUUUACUGGUUUUGGAUGGGCUCACGGCCUAUCAGCUUGUUGGUGGGGUAAUGGCCUACCAAGGCGACGACGGGUAGCCGGCCUGAGAGGGUGACCGGCCACACUGGGACUGAGACACGGCCCAGACUCCUACGGGAGGCAGCAGUGGGGAAUAUUGCACAAUGGGCGGAAGCCUGAUGCAGCGACGCCGCGUGAGGGAUGACGGCCUUCGGGUUGUAAACCUCUUUCAGCACGGAAGAAGCGAGAGUGACGGUACGUGCAGAAGAAGCGCCGGCUAACUACGUG